UACGUAGGGAGCAAGCGUUGUCCGGAAUCAUUGGGCGUAAAGCGCGCGUAGGUGGCCACAUAAGUCCGCUGUGAAAGUCAAAGCUCAACCUUUGAAAGCCGGUGGAUACUGUGAGGCUAGGAGUACGGAAGAGGCGAGUGGAAUUCCUGGUGUAGCGGUGGAAUGCGCAGAUAUCAGGAGGAACACCAAUAGCGAAGGCAGCUCGCUGGGACGUUACUGACACUGAGGCGCGAAAGCCGUGGGGAGCGAACAGG
rnacentral:rRNA from 1 species